UCCUUUCCCUCGGCUCCCUAGACCCAGGCCAGACAGUCGGCCGUCCGGAUGUGGGGCUGCCUAGCACGGGGUUUGCUUUGUGUGGGGGAGGUGCGACUGGCUGGGUUCCUAGGAAGGAGACUGCUGAGCAGCAACGCUGCCUCGGGGAAAAGCAAUGCGGGCCAAUGCUGGAACUGCGGCCGCGCAGGGGGUGUGGAGAGCGGGGAUGGGUUUUUCUGCGAACACUGCCGCGCCUUGCAGCCUCCAGACCCGACUCGGGACUACUUCAGCCUCAUGAAUUGCCACCGAUCCUUCAGGGUCGACGUCAUGAAGCUUCAGCACAGGUACCAGCAACUACAGCGUCUCGUCCACCCAGAUUUCUUCAGCCAGAAGUCUCAGACUGAAAAAUACUUCUCAGAGAAGCAUUCGACCCUGGUGAAUGAUGCCUAUAAGACUCUUCAGGCUCCCCUGAGCAGGGGACUAUACCUUCUAAAGCUCCAAGGAAUAGAAAUUCCUGAAGGGACCGAUUAUGGAACAGACGGUCAGUUCCUUGUGGAAAUAAUGGAAAUCAAUGAGAAACUUGCAGAUGCCCAGAGUGAGGCUGCGUUGGAAGAGAUAGAAUCCACUGUCAGAGUCUCACUGUAGCCACGUUGGCGGUUUCCACUUCCACGCCAGGCCUUUGUGAGCAUUGUUGAUGCGGCGUGGAACUCUGGUCUUUUCAUUCCGUUCAUGUUAACUCCUCUCCCCGACCUGGGAGCAGUCAUUAUUCUUCACGAAGCCUCCUUUGUCCUCUCUGUCUCUGCCUUUGGCCACAGCAGACACUUCACUGCUGUCGGGAAGCUAAACAGAAAGAAUUUACUGACAGUGUAAACAGAGCUUUUGAACAAGGUGAUUUUGAAAAAGCCAAGGAAAUUCUAACAAAGAUGAAAUACUUUUCAAACAUAGAAGAAAAGAUCAAGUUAAGCAAGAAUCCCCUCUAGUUGCUAAUUUAAGGUUUGAAAAAUAAACUUUCUAUGUAUUUC